AACGCACAUUGCGCUCCCUGGUAUUCCGGGGAGCACGCCCGUUCCAGAAUCAAUAAAUAUCUCACCUGUCCUGGUGCCUUCGGGCGUCUGGCAACGGUGGAGCUGGAUUUUUGCGUCAGCAAUCAUCUGAAAAAGAUUGUAUGUGCACCAAUUGCUUGGUCUUUUGGUUGUCAAAGUGCAACAGAGUUUUCUAUUUCGCUGAGACGAUCAACCGACUGGUUUGAUGCGCAUGCUUGCCUCGUUGCACGGAAUUCAAAUCUGAUGGUUUGGUUUCUGAUAACUUGAUCUGGAAUCGGGCGGGAAAACCCGCUGAACUUAA
rnacentral:misc_RNA from 1 species